rnacentral:rRNA from 1 species
ACUCCUACGGGAGGCAGCAGUGAGGAAUAUUGGACAAUGGGCGGGAGCCUGAUCCAGCCAUGCCGCGUGCAGGAAGACUGCCCUAUGGGUUGUAAACUGCUUUUAUACGGGAAGAAACGACUCCCUCGUGAGGGAAUUUGACGGUACCGUUAAGAAUAAGGAUCGGCUAACUCCGUGCCAGCAGCCGCGGUAAUACGGAGGAUCCAAGCGUUAUCCGGAAUCAUUGGGUUUAAAGGGUCCGUA